AUAACUGCUGCCUGAAGAAUGUGGUAAUUGCUUCAGAGAGUGAGGAACUUCUAUAGUGUGAUGAUAACAUGAUAUGCUACUAAACACUUAUCUGAGCAUACAGUUCUUUGCAGUUUCAUGGGUGAAGAACCUACCGUCUGCGAAUGGGCACAUCUACCCAAAGGAAAUUGGUCCUGGGCUAUAGAAUCUAACCGAGAGAUCCAGAGAAGAUGCUGGUGAAUUCCUCUCUAAACACUUUGUGCCAACAGAUGACCGGGUGAUAUAAAGCCACCAAAAGCUGUAGUAAAUAAAACAGAAUGAGCUGCUCAGGCCUUCUGUAACCUGCUCAAAUUUUUCUGAGUGAUUUGUUGUUGCUUAGUAAUUACUUUUUUUUUAUGGAAAAGGAGGAAAGUUCUUAUCCAUUUCUAUUUGAACAGCAGCAAGAGGUCGAUUCCACGUAGUAAGAAGCAGCAGAUGCAUUUAUAGGGUAUGAUUUUGUGUCCUUAAUUAAUGUUUUUAAAAGCAUCCUUUUUGUAAUCCAUUCGCAUUUAAAUUUGAUUAAAAAUAAACAAAUGAGACAAUUUA